rnacentral:lncRNA from 1 species
CUAUAAUGUAGUUGGGAUUAGAUUCUCCAAACCCUAUGUCUCUUUGUCUCCCUACAAACAGAUUUUCCAAUCUACAGGCCUGGAGUGAGCAGGAGUAAUUACAGAGCCCAGAUCUUCACCACUGCAGAGAGAAGGAGAGAGGAGAGUUGGGGAGAGUGCUCGGUAUGCACUGGAAGUAUAAAGAAACUAAAAUUCACCUGAGAAUUUUUGUAAGCCCUACAUUCAUGAGAAACUUGCAGCUGCAUCAGAGCCAUCAGGAUUGGAUAGGACUUCCAUUUCUACUCCAAGCUGAAGAGGAGUGAAGCACUUUGGAAUGGCCAUCUCCAGGACUUCAAGGAAAUUUGGAAACUUCCUGCACAGGUAUAAAAUGAGUGGGAACUAGCCCAACAAAAUAGUUGGCUGACUACCAACAAAGUAGCCAGCCCUGGAAUUCUGGACAUGGACAAGCCAACCCUGGGAGAGGAAUUGUUUUAGUCAGCUUUUUUGCUGCUCUGACUAAAAGAUCCGACAAGAACAAUUUUAGAGGAGGAAAAGUUUAUUUGGGGGCUCACAGUUUCAGAGGUCUAAGUCCAUAGACA